ensembl:snRNA U6 U6 spliceosomal RNA
GUGCUCGCUUCGGCAGCACAUAUACUAAAAAAUUGGAACGAUACAGAGAAGAUUAGCAUGGCCCCUGCACAAUGAAAUAGCAUUCUGCAGUUUUCAAAGGUUUUU